CAUACUAGAACGUGCGCGCACUUUCUAGAAACAUUGAGGCUUUCUUGGGGAAACAAAACUGCCUAUUGUGAUGGUUGACUCGUGGCCACACCUGCGCAUGCUUGGCCAGCGGUGCGCUCGCCCCUGGCUUGGCUCUGACCACUCGAGUGCUCUGUGACGACGUUGCCCUCGUCGGAGCCGAGGCGAGUGUGCCGCUCGAUCACCUGCGGAACGCAGACACACCCCUCGCUGUAAUGCCGCUGAGGCCUGAAGCUUGCUUUCCCUUGGUGUUGAGUCUGCUCCCUGGUCCUCAGAUGCCUCCCUUCCCCACAGAUGUGGCUUGGCUUGGCCAUGCAGUGCGCAGCAAGUCAGGCAUGCGUGGACGCCAGCUGAACUUGGGAGCCGCGCUUAGCGGAGUCCCUAACUGUGCUCUUGGCUCCCAGUGUGUUCCCCUGAUGUUGUGGGCAUGUGGGCAUACAGGUGUUCUUGGGGUGCAGGCAAAAACACAUCAUAAGCAUCUCAUGGGUCACACACACACACACACACUCUCUCUUUCUCACACACGGUCUGGGGUUUCGUUUGGGUCCUUACGCAUGUCUGCCUGGUUUUCUUUUAGCCCGACUGUGUCGUGGCGCACACACUGACUGACACAUGUGGCCGCUUGUAGUGUUGUCUCUAAGCACGUGUGCAGGCCAGGCAGCCCAGGUGCCCGGUGGGUGGCUGUAAUCCCGAGAGCGUGGUGCCGCAGGGCUGGCCUCCUCAUGAAGGCCCUUCAGCAGUGUUCACUGAAGACCUAGGCCGUCCGGUCUGCUGCUUAGGCCGCCGGGAGAACACUUUCUGGUCUGUCAUCACGCAGGGUAUAAAGGCCUCAUGAGCUUAGACAUGAGCCGCGGAUGCAUUCGCCAUUAUCAGAAGGGUCUUCGGCCUGGAGGCACGCACGGGAAGGUGCUCGAGUCUUUGGGGCCCUGGGCCCCAUUGGGCCCUCGUCACCUGGGCUCUCUCUGGGGGGACUUGCAGUGAAUGAGCACCGGCUCAGCAACAAACUGCUGGCCUGGAGUGGCGUGCUGGAGUGGCAGGAGAAGCGUAGACCCUUUUCGGACUCCACAGCCAAGCUGAAGCGCACCCUGCCCUGCCAGGCCUACGUGAACCAGGGCGAGAACCUGGAGACGGACCAGUGGCCCCAGAAGCUGAUCAUGCAGCUCAUCCCACAGCAGCUGCUGACCACACUGGGCCCCCUGUUCCGAAACUCUCAGCUGGCCCAGUUCCACUUCACGAACAGAGACUGUGACUCGCUUAAGGGCCUCUGCCGCAUCAUGGGCAACGGCUUCGCGGGCUGCAUGCUCUUCCCCCACAUUUCCCCGUGCGAGGUGCGGGUGCUGAUGCUCCUGUACUCGUCUAAGAAGAAGAUCUUCAUGGGCCUCAUCCCCUACGACCAGAGCGGCUUUGUCAACGCCAUACGGCAGGUCAUCACCACUCGCAAACAGGCCGUGGGUCCUGGAGGCGUGCACUCGGGACCUGUUCAGAUCGUCAACAACAAAUUCUUGGCAUGGAGUGGUGUCAUGGAGUGGCAGGAGCCCAGGCCUGAGCCCAAUAGCCGGUCCAAGCGGUGGCUGCCAUCCCACGUCUACGUGAACCAAGGGGAGAUCCUGAGGACAGAUCAGUGGCCACGGAAGCUCUUUAUGCAGCUCAUCCCACAGCAGUUGCUGACCACUCUCGUGCCACUGUUCCGGAACUCGCGCCUGGUACAGUUCCACUUCACUAAGGACAUGGAGACUCUGAAGAGCCUUUGCCGGAUCAUGGACAAUGGCUUUGCGGGCUGCGUGCACUUCUCCUAUAAGGCUUCCUGUGAGGUGCGUGUGCUGAUGCUCCUGUACUCCUCGGAGAAAAAGAUCUUCAUUGGCCUCAUCCCGCACGACCAGAGCAACUUUGUCAACGGCAUCCGUCGGGUCAUUGCCAACCAGCAGCAGGUCCUGCAGCGGAGCCUGGAGCAGGAGCAGCAGCAGCGAGGGAUGGGUGGCUAGUGGACUCCCAGGCUGGGCAGGCCACAGUCCCAGACGAGGCCCGACGGAGACUGGUCAGAUGCUUCUGAGCAGGGGCUUCUGGGGACUGUGCCUGCCCAGCAGCCUGGAGGACAGCGUCCUGAGGUCUCCAAGGAUGGUCCUUGCCCUGUAUGUUUCCCUAAUAAAGCCUUUUAACCCACA